GGAGGGGUCGCAUAGUGGCCUAGUGCAGUAGUUUUGAAAACUGCCAGGGGCGCAAGCUCCUCGUGGGUUCGAAUCCCACCCCCUCCG
rfam:Microgenomates (Daviesbacteria) bacterium GW2011_GWF2_38_6 TS99_C0036, whole genome shotgun sequence.